GGGGGUGAAAAGGACUCGACUUAAAUUUGCAUCGUAAGAAGAGCAUGUAGAGCAAGCAAGAUUGCUCUUAAAAAUAUCUUGCAAAAAUAAACGCAAACACACCAGUGUUUAACCGGCUAACAGCUCCAGUAAUGGCUCCGUUAGCUGGUAGCGUAGGAAUCUGUCUGAAUUAGUCAGACAGUCUCUUAAGUAAGGUGUCUGCGACUUGCUUAAGGGAAUUUUAGCAGGCUGGUUUGAGCAAGUUGCCUUUGGUGCUCAAAUGAGACUUUAAAAGGCUAUAGUUUAUUCAAUCCUGCUUAUCGGAGUGAAUAAAUUGAAGCGAAAAGAUAAGCUAAACAUGUAGCGCUUCUUAUGGCGCAAUUUAAGGACGCGGGUUCAAUUCCCGCCACCUCCACCA
rnacentral:tmRNA from 1 species